rnacentral:rRNA from 1 species
UGAAUACGAAAUGCUACGGCAUAGAAGUGAUCUAUGCCAGGCUUCCAAGAAAAUCUCGUCAUAUCUUAAGCAGUAGAUGCCUGUACCUUAAACCGACACAGGUAGGUAGGUAGAGUAUACCAAGGGGCGCGAGAUAACUCUCUCUAAGGAACUCGGCAAAAUAACCUCGUAACUUCGGAAGAAGAGGUACCCUUGAAAAAGGGUUGCAAUAACCAGACCCUGGCGACUGUUUACCAAAAACACAGGUCUCCGCUAAUUCGUAAGAUCAAGUAUGGAGGCUGACGCCUGACCAGUGCCGGAAGGUUAAAGAAGUUGGUCAAUCUUUGGAUGAAGCUGGCGACUGAAGCCCCGGUGAACGGCGGCCGUAACUAUAACGGUCCUAAGGUAGCGAAGUUCCUUGUCGGGUAAGUUCCGACCCGCACGAAAGGCGUAACGAUCAGGGUGCUGUCUCGGAGAGAGACUCGGCGAAAUAGACAUGUCUGUGAAGAUGCGGACUACCUGCACCUGGACAGAAAGACCCUAUGAAGCUUUACUGUAUCUUGGAAUUGGGUUUGGGCCUUGCUUGCGCAGGAUAGGUGGGAGGCUGUGAAGAUAUUCUUGCGGGAAUGUUGGAGCCAACGGUGAGAUACCACUCUAGUAAGGCUAAAAUUCUAACUCUGAACCGUUAUCCGGUCAGAGAACAGUUUCAGGUGGGCAGUUUGACUGGGGCGGUCGCCUCCUAAAGGGUAACGGAGGCGCGCAAAGGUUCCCUCAGGCUGGUUGGACAUCAGUCGUAUAGUAAAGGCAUAAGGGAGCUUGACUGCGAGACCCACAAGUCGAGCAGAGACGAAAGUCGGCCUUAGUGAUCCGACGGUUCCACGUGGAAGGGCCGUCGCUCAACGGAUAAAAGUUACUCUAGGAUAACAGGCUGAUCUCCCCCAAGAGUUCACAUCGACGGGGAGGUUUGGCACCUCGGUGUCGGCUCAUCGCAUCCUGGGGCGGUAGUACGUCCCAAGGGUUGGGCUGUUCGCCCAUGAAAGCGGUACGCGAGCUGGGUUCAGAACGUCGUGAGACAGUUCGGUCCAUAUCCGGUGCAGGCGUUAGAGCAUUGAGAGGAGUCCCCCUUAGUACGAGAGGACCGGGGGGAAUACACCGCUGGUGUACCAGUUAUCGUGCCAACGGUAAACGCUGGGUAGCCAUGUGUAGCGCGGAUAACUGCUGAAAGCAUCUAAGUAGGAAGCCCACCUUAAGAUGAGUGCUCUCACCGCUAUAAGCGGGUAAGGUCACGGUAAGAACAACCGUUAUAUAGGCAUUAAGUAUACGUGCAGUAAUGCAUUUAGCUGAGAUGUACUAACAGACCGAGGGCUUGAUC